rnacentral:lncRNA from 1 species
GGGAAAUCUGUCAUUCCCAUUUUGCAUGAUCUAAUAGUGACAGGACAAAUGGGAAUGGCUUUAGACUGAAAGAGGGGAAAUUCAGGUUGGAUGUUAGGAAGAAAAUAUUUACUCAGAGGAUGGUGAGGUGCUGGCACAGCUGCCCAGAGAAGCUGUGGUGCCCCAUCCCUGGAGGCGUUCAAGGCCAGGUUGGAUGGGGCCCUGGGCAGCUGAGCUGCUGGGGGGCAGCUCUGCCCAUGGCAUGGGGUUGGAAUGGGUAGGCUUUGAGGUCCCUUCCAACCUAAACCAUUGCAUGAUUCUAUG